rnacentral:misc_RNA from 1 species
GAAAUGCGAUAAGUAAUGUGAAUUGCAGAAUUCAGUGAAUCAUCGAAUCUUUGAACGCACCUUGCGCUCCUUGGUAUUCCUUGGAGCAUGCCUGUUUGAGUAUCAUGAAAUCUUCAAAGUAAAUCUUUUGUUAACUCAAUUGGUUUCUACUUUGGUAUUGGAGGUCUUUGCAGCUUCACACCUGCUCCUCUUUGUUCAUUAGCUGGAUCUCAGUGUUAUGCUUGGUUCCACUCGGCGUGAUAAGUUAUCUAUCGCUGAGGACACUGUAAAAGGUGGCCAAGGUAAAUGCAGAUGAACCGCUUCUAAUAGUCCAUUGACUUGGCAAUACUUUUAUGAUCUGAUCUCAAAUCAGGUAGGACUACCCGCUGAACUUAAGC